GACAGCAGCCGCCGCGGGAACACGAAGGGUGCAAGCGUUAAUCGGAAUUACUGGGCGUAAAGCGUGCGUAGGCGGUGAGUUAAGUCUGCUGUGAAAUCCCCGGGCUCAACCUGGGAAUGGCAGUGGAUACUGGCUCGCUAGAGUGUGUCAGAGGAUGGUGGAAUUCCCGGUGUAGCGGUGAAAUGCGUAGAGAUCGGGAGGAACAUCAGUGGCGAAGGCGGCCAUCUGGGACAACACUGACGCUGAGGCACGAAAGCGUGGGGAGCAAACAGGAUUAGAUACCCGGGUAGUCCCUGUCUCUUAUAA
rnacentral:rRNA from 1 species